AAUGACAGGCAUCUCUGCAGGCAGGCUGAACCCACCUUGGCUUGUGCACAGCCAUUGGCUGUCUAUUAGAAUAAAUUGAGGACAAUGCAUACCGCUGCCUGCCAAUUGUAAACAUAAGGGAUAUGUAUUCACUUAGCAUUGACUUUUGGGAGGGGCCAAGGAAAAGCUGUAGUUUUAUUGAAUAGGGCUGUGUGUGAGGCUGCUGGUGUGUCUUUCUUGCUGCGCUCCUGCCCAAGCAGCAGUUAUUCAUUUCCUUCCUACUAGUUGAAUACUUUUCAGCCAGAGGAGCUGAAUAAAACCAGACCAAGUAAUCCCUGGGAAUUUCUGCAACCAGAAUUGCUGGGAAACAAGUUCCUGUGAUAAGUUUGGUUACCCAAAGAGUUCCUUGUGAGCUGAAGAGGCAGCAUUCUUCCAGGCUCAGGGGCAUCAUAUCUG